AGAGUUUGAUCCUGGCUCAGGAUGAACGCUGGCGACGUGGAUAAGGCAUGCAAGUUAGGGGGCUCUUCGGAGCAACCGGCAAACUGGGUAGUAACAGGUAGGAACAUACCCGAGAGUCAGGAAUAGCCAUGGGAAACCGUGGGUAAUACCUGAUAGUCCCGCAAGGGUAAAGAUUUAUCGCUCUCGGAGUGGCCUGCUUCGUAUCAGCUUGUUGGUGAGGUAAUGGCUCACCAAGGCUAUGACGCGUAGGGGAGGUGAGAGCCUGACCCCCACCAUUGGAACUGAGACACUGUCCAAACACCUACGGGUGGCUGCAGUCGAGAAUCUUCCGCAAUGCACGAAAGUGUGACGGAGCGACGUCGCGUGAUCGAUGAAGUACUUAGGUAUGUAAAGGUCUUUUAUGAGGGAGGAAGUUUAUUGACGUUACCUCAUGAAUAAGGGGUUGCUAAACUCGUGCCAGCAGCAGCGGUAAUACGAGUGCCCCGAGCGUUAUCCGGAAUUAUUGGGCGUAAAGGGUCCGUAGGCGGUUGUAUUAGUCUCUUGUUAAAGCUCUGGGCUUAACCCAGGAAUCGCAAGGAAAACGGUACAACUAGAGAGCGAGAGGGGUGUAUGGAACUCAUGGUGUAGGGGUGAAAUCCGUUGAUAUCAUGGGGAACACCAAAAGCGAAGGCAAUACACUGGCUCGUUUCUGACGCUAAGGGACGAAACCCUGGGUAGCGAAUGGGAUUAGAUACCCCAGUAGUCCAGGGCCUAAACGAUCUUCACUAGCUUUUCGGAGUAUCGACCCUCUGAGAGGCGAAGCUAACGCGUUAAGUGAAGCGCCUGGGUAGUACGAGCGCAAGCUUAAAACUCAAAGGAAUAGACGGGAGCUCGCACAAGCGGUGGAGCGUGUGGUUUAAUUCGACGCUAAGCGAAACACCUCACCGGGGUUAGAAAUCUAGCUGUGCCUUCUGGGAAACCAGAAGGGUCUUCGAGAUCGCUAGACAGGUGAUGCAUGGCCGUCGUCAGUUCGUGGCUUGAGCUGUUCCCUUAAGUGGGGUAACGAACGCAACCCUCGUUGUCUGUUAUACGUAUCAGGCGAGACUGCUCCCUCACGGGAGAGGAAGGUGGGGAUGACGCCAGGUCAGCAUGUCCCUUGAUAUCCCGGGCUACACACGCGCUACAAUGGCUGGUACAACGGGUCGCGACGGAGCAAUCCUGAGCCAAUCCUUAUAAAGCCAGCCCCAGUUCGGAUUGAGGUCUGCAACUCGACCUCAUGAAGUUGGAAUCGCUAGUAAUCGCGGGUCAGCACACCGCGGUGAAUACGUUCUCGAGCUUUGUACUCACCGCCCGUCAAGCUAAGGAAGCUGGGAGUACCCGAAGUGCCCCUUUAUGGGGUCCCACGGUAAAUUCAGUGACAGGAGCUAAGUCGUAACAAGGUAACC
rnacentral:rRNA from 1 species